UACGUAGGGGGCGAGCGUUGUCCGGAUUUACUGGGCGUAAAGCGCGUGUAGGCGGCCGUUUAAGUCGGGUGUGAAAGCCCGGGGCUUAACCCCGGGAUGCCGCUCGAGACUGGACGGCUUGAGGACGGAAGAGGGGAGUGGAAUUCCUGGUGUAGCGGUGAAAUGCGUAGAGUAUCAGGAGGAACACCGGUGGCGAAGGCGGUCU
rnacentral:rRNA from 1 species